AUGCCCACGAGGCUCAAGAAUACAACGAACAACGAACAACAAACUAUUCCACCAAAUCCCUCUCUCCCUUCUAACAGGUACGAGACGUACAUGUACCCUUGGCCGACAUCGCUUGCUUCCGCCUUGGCGGCGUCCACGUCGUCCCGAUCACAUGUCCCAAGAUUGCAAGGGAGGUGCUCAAGAAGCAGGACAAAAACUUCUUGUCCCGCCCACUCACCUUCGCCUCCGACGCCAUCAGCUACGAGUACAAGGACGCCGUGCUCGCGCCAUUCGGCGACCAGUGGAUGA
rnacentral:rRNA from 1 species